rnacentral:rRNA from 1 species
UACGGAGGGUGCGAGCGUUGUUCGGAAUCACUGGGCGUAAAGGGCGUGUAGGCGGUCCGCUAAGUCUGAUGUGAAAGCCCGGGGCUCACCCCCGGAAGGGCAUUGGAAACUGGCGGACUCGAGUCCCGGAGAGGAGGGUGGAAUUCCUGGUGUAGCGGUGAAAUGCGCAGAUAUCAGGAGGAACACCGGUGGCGAAGGCGGGUCUCUGGGCCGAUACUGACGCUGAGGAGCGAAAGCGUGGGGAGCAAACAGG